rnacentral:rRNA from 1 species
AUGCAAGCAAGGUUUAGACAAGGGCCGUGUUUGAACAGUUUGGUGAAGCAUUGUAUACGUCCUUUUCAUUCCUCAGAAACACAUACUGAAACAUUCCAUAGGCUGUCACUAGGUUGCCUUUUCGCCAGAAUACGCGUGGCUACGGUGCCAGCUUGGACCGGAAUACGCGCCAGAUGUGGAUCACGAGGAAGCUGGACGGCCAGGAUAACAACCGUCAUGGUGGUCAACCACCAUUCGCAUUUUUCCACGCUGCAGGUUGCUUCUUUGGUGCUGGAGGCAAAUGUUUGUGUGAGGGAACUUUAG